rnacentral:rRNA from 1 species
AUGAGCGGCACCGGCAUGCAAGACAUGGCAUUUCAAGCUUUGGAGGCAUUCAAGGUUCAACACAACGGCAAGUGCUUCAACCUCUCCCAUUGCUUUCGGGUCAUCAAGGACGAGGAGAAGUUCAAGGCGCAAUAUACCACCCUCAAGUCGCGUGGGGGGAAGAAAGCCAUGGAGGAGGUUGGGGAGGGCAAGCCGGCACGGUCGCGGGGAAAGACCAACUCCAAGAAGGAGGACAAGCAGGAUGCGGCAUCCAACGCCUUGAUCGCAAGCGUGGAGGGCAUGAUGAACAAGAAGGACUCAAGGGAGGAGGAGCGCCGGCGUUUCAAGGUGGAGCAAAUGGACGCUUUCAUGGAGAUCCAAAGGAGGAGGCUUGAGAUGGACGCGGAGAAGCAAGCCAAGAUGUUCGAGCUCGAGGUGGAGAAGCAAGCCAAGAUGCUAGAGAUCGAGGCUGAUGUCGUGGUUCUAACUCUGACAGUGAUGUAG